rnacentral:rRNA from 1 species
AUUGAACGCUGGCGGCAUGCCUUACACAUGCAAGUCGAACGGCAGCACGGGAGCAAUCCUGGUGGCGAGUGGCGAACGGGUGAGUAAUAUAUCGGAACGUGCCCAGUCGUGGGGAUAACGUAGCGAAAGCUACGCUAAUACCGCAUACGAUCUAUGGAUGAAAGCGGGGGAUCGCAAGACCUCGCGCGAUUGGAGCGGCCGAUAUCAGAUUAGGUAGUUGGUGAGGUAAAGGCUCACCAAGCCGACGAUCUGUAGCUGGUCUGAGAGGACGACCAGCCACACUGGGACUGAGACACGGCCCAGACUCCUACGGGAGGCAGCAGUGGGGAAUUUUUGGACAAUGGGCGCAAGUCUGAUCCAGCAAUGCCGCGUGCAGGAUGAAGGCC